rnacentral:rRNA from 1 species
AGAACGAACGCUGGCGGCGUGCCUAACACAUGCAAGUCGAGCGAGAAAGGGGAGCAAUCCCCGAGUAAAGCGGCAGACGGGUGAGUAACACGUAGGUAAUCUGCCCUCGAGUGGGGAAUAACAUCUCGAAAGAGGUGCUAAUACCGCAUAACAUCCUGGGGCCUCAGGUCUCCGGGAUCAAUGGUGGGGAUCUUCGGACCUACCGCUUGAGGAGGAGCCCGCGCCUGAUUAGCUAGUUGGUGGGGUAAUGGCCUACCAAGGCGACGAUCAGUAGCCGGCCUGAGAGGGUGAACGGCCACACUGGAACUGAGACACGGUCCAGACUCCUACGGGAGGCAGCAGUGAGGAAUUUGCGCAAU